UACGAAGGGGGCUAGCGUUGUUCGGAAUUACUGGGCGUAAAGGGCGCGUAGGCUGUGCUGUAAGUCAGGCGUGAAAGCCCUGGGCUCAACCUAGGAAGUGCAUUCGAAACUGCAGGGCUGGAGUCCUGGAGAGGAAGGCGGAAUUCUCGGUGUAGAGGUGAAAUUCGUAGAUAUCGAGAGGAACACCGGUGGCGAAGGCGGCCUUCUGGACAGUGACUGACGCUGAGACGCGAAAGCGUGGGGAGCAAACAGG
rnacentral:rRNA from 1 species